CGUUACUGAAGCUCAUAAUUAUUCUCUUGGCCCUUUUGUACAUGGGUGACUGCUAUGCUCAGUCUUCCGGCAGCUUGAACGUUCUUCCCUGCACUCCCUGGGAAGCAUGUGGAGAACGCGAGCUUGUGAAUCACAUUCAGCUCAGUUUUACUUAGGAGGAUGCCCAGUGAGAUUGAGUAGCUUGUCCAAGGCCAUCCAGAUAAUAUGAGAUGGACCAACGAUUUGGCCCAACACUGUCAGAUUCAGAACCUCUACAUUUGCCAUGACCUGACUGUGUCUGCCUACGGCAUCUGCUUCCACACCACAUCUUUUAAACUCAUCAAAGACUCUGUGUGAACCUAGUGGGUUAUCUGGAGCCACGA